GAUGAACGCUGGCGGCGUGCCUAAUACAUGCAAGUCGAGCGAACGGACGAGAAGCUUGCUUCUCUGAUGUUAGCGGCGGACGGGUGAGUGACACGUGGAUAACCUACCUAUAAGACUGGGAUAACUUCGGGAAACCGGAGCUAAUACCGGAUGAUAUUUUGAACCGCAUGGUUCAAAAGUGAAAGACGGUCUUGCUGUCACUUAUAGAUGGAUCCGCGCUGCAUUAGCUAGUUGGUAAGGUAACGGCUUACCAAGGCAACGAUGCAUAGCCGACCUGAGAGGGGGAUCCGCCACACUGGAACUGAGACACGGUCCAGACUCCUACGGGAGGCAGCAGUAGGGAAUCUUCCGCAAUGGGCGAAAGCCUGACGGAGCAACGCCGCGUGAGGGAUGAAGGUCUUCGGAUCGUAAAACUCUGUUAUUAGGGAAGAACAUAUGUGUAAGUAACUGUGCACAUCUUGACGGUACCUAAUCAGAAAGCCACGGCUAACUACGUG
rnacentral:rRNA from 1 species